AUUGAACGCUGGCGACAUGCCUUACACAUGCAAGUCGAACGGCAGCACGGGUGCUUGCACCUGGUGGCGGGUGGCGAACGGGUGAGUAAUACAUCGGAACAUGUCCUGUAGUGGGGGAUAGCCCGGCGAAAGCCGGAUUAAUACCGCAUACGAUCUACGGAUGACAGCGGGGGACCUUCGGGCCUCGCGCUAUAGGGUUGGCCGAUGGCUGAUUAGCUAGUUGGUGGGGUAAAGGCCUACCAAGGCGACGAUCAGUAGCUGGUCUGAGAGGACGACCAGUCACACUGGGACUGAGACACGGCCCAGACUCCUACGGGAGGCAGCAGUGGGGAAUUUUGGACAAUGGGCGAAAGCCUGAUCCAGCAAUGCCGCGUGUGUGAAGAAGGCCUUCGGGUUGUAAAGCACUUUUGUCCGGAAAGAAAUCCUUGGCCCUAAUACGGUCGGGGGAUGACGGUACCGGAAGAAUAAGCACCGGCUAACUACGUG
rnacentral:rRNA from 1 species